rnacentral:lncRNA from 1 species
GUUCUGGCAACAGCAGGUGACAUUAGCUUUGAUUAAUGUCAGAACUGUGAAUGUAGCAGCUGAGGACCUGCACACCUGCAACGCUGACAUGCUUACCUAAUGGCUUAGUUGUUAAAUGCAGAAGUGGUUAAUCAACAUUUCAACACAUGGUCUGAGGUGGGAGAAGGGGGGGAGAAAUCCACAACAACUUAAUUAAUGUGCCAGAUACCCAUGCCGAAAUGUUGCCUAGAUUAUUUUUAGGCUGCAUAGUGAAAGCUGGAAGACCAGAUAAUUCUCAGCACCUAUUUCACUUAUCAAACAUUGGAGUAGAGCAUACAGCAAAAAGAGUUCUGAGAUUGCUAAUCAGGAAGUGAAGGCUGAAAAGCUCUGUAAGAACUAGUAAGAAUUUUGUUUCAAUUCAUUUUUUUAAAAAAAUUGGAAUUCACAAAUGUUUUUAUAU